GAGCUUGUUUCAUUGGCUGUGG
rnacentral:piRNA from 1 species